GCCUGGGUGGCUUGGUCGGUUAAGCGUCUGACUUCGGCUCAGGUCACGAUCUCGCGGUCCGUGAGUUCGAGCCCCGCGUCGGGCU
rnacentral:tRNA from 1 species